AUGAACGCUGGCGGCGUGCCUCAUACAUGCCAGUCGAGCGCACGGACGAGAAGCUUGCUUCUCUGAUGUUAGCGGCGGACGGGUGAGUAACACGUGGAUAACCUACCUAUAAGACUGGGAUAACUUCGGGAAACCGGAGCUAAUACCGGAUAAUAUUUUGAACCGCAUGGUUCAAAAGUGAAAGACGGUCUUGCUGUCACUUAUAGAUGGAUCCGCGCUGCAUUAGCUAGUUGGUAAGGUAACGGCUUACCAAGGCAACGAUGCAUAGCCGACCUGAGAGGGUGAUCGGCCACACUGGAACUGAGACACGGUCCAGACUCCUACGGGAGGCAGCAGUAGGGAAUCUUCCGCAAUGGGCGAAAGCCUGACGGAGCAACGCCGCGUGAGUGAUGAAGGUCUUCGGAUCGUAAAACUCUGUUAUUAGGGAAGAACAUAUGUGUAAGUAACUGUGCACAUCUUGACGGUACCUAAUCAGAAAGCCACGGCUAACUACAUG
rnacentral:rRNA from 1 species